rnacentral:rRNA from 1 species
GAUGAACGCUGGCGGCGUGCCUAAUACAUGCAAGUCGAGCGAACAGACGAGGAGCUUGCUCCUCUGACGUUAGCGGCGGACGGGUGAGUAACACGUGGAUAACCUACCUAUAAGACUGGGAUAACUUCGGGAAACCGGAGCUAAUACCGGAUAAUAUAUUGAACCGCAUGGUUCAAUAGUGAAAGACGGUUUUGCUGUCACUUAUAGAUGGAUCCGCGCCGCAUUAGCUAGUUGGUAAGGUAACGGCUUACCAAGGCAACGAUGCGUAGCCGACCUGAGAGGGUGAUCGGCCACACUGGAACUGAGACACGGUCCAGACUCCUACGGGAGGCAGCAGUAGGGAAUCUUCCGCAAUGGGCGAAAGCUUGACGGAGCAACGCCGCGUGAGUGAUGAAGGUCUUCGGAUCGUAAAACUCUGUUAUUAGGGAAGAACAAUGUGUAAGUAACUAUGCACGUCUUGACGGUACCUAAUCAGAAAGCCACGGCUAACUACGUG